ACACGUUAAGCACAUGAUUUGUGAAAAGUGAGCCGUGUGUCUCGUUACUAAACGUGAAGGAGUAACUCACGUGACAGAGAUGUGGGGAAUCAGUGUUCCUUUCGCUGUGAGAGAGACCCUUGAAUCAAGGUCGGAAGGAGAAAUUGUAUCACAGUCACACCAGGUAAAUAGACAAGAAAUUCUUUUCAGUGCUGUUUUGUAAACGCACGACAGUAAACUACCCAAGAGACCAGCAUUAUAGUACUUGUUAAAGAAAUCAUAUAUCAACGUAAAGAGCUGCCAAGAAUUGCCAGGACGGUGCUGUAGCUGCAUUGUUUACAAGGCAUGAGCUUCAGGACCAAAGGCUGAUUUUAACGGUGAGGAUCUGCGGAAAAUAAGUACCAAGAAGAAAACGUGUGCCAGAUAUCAUUUCCAAAAAAUUACAGUAACGUGUAUUCAUAUAAAAAUUUGGAAUGAAGAGUACAAAUCUUAUCAGGAUGCUUUUGGACAGUGAUCAUUCAGAAAAUGAGGAAGAAGUUGACACAUAUCCUUUUCACGUUCACUUAUAUGAGCAGGUCGAGUCAAGAAACAACACUUAAUUUAGGUUUUUAUAAGUUUACCUAAAGCCAAAAAGAGAACAUAUUUAUCUGAGAAGAAAUAUCACCAAAGUUUUACAUCAGUCCUGAGUGAGUCUCCUGAAACACUUUGAAAAUAUUGAUACAACAAAUCAAAAAAGUUUUGUUUUCUGUUUUCUUUUUCCAUUCUCUUUCACUAAGAUUUUCUUACUUGCAUAUAAUCUCCCAAAUCUACAAUGAACCUGUCUUUUGUUCCCCUCCUUAUGUCUUUUUGAAUUACUGCUGAAAGGAAAGUUUCUGUAUUUAAGAAAUAAAGUGUCU
ensembl:lncRNA